rnacentral:rRNA from 1 species
UACAGAGGGGGCAAGCGUUGUUCGGAAUUAUUGGGCGUAAAGAGCUCGUAGGCGGUUUGUCGCGUCUGCUGUGAAAGCCCAGGGCUCAACCCCGGGUCUGCAGUGGGUACGGGCAGACUAGAGUGCAGUAGGGGAGACUGGAAUUCCUGGUGUAGCGGUGAAAUGCGCAGAUAUCAGGAGGAACACCGAUGGCGAAGGCAGGUCUCUGGGCUGUAACUGACGCUGAGGAGCGAAAGCAUGGGGAGCGAACAGG